AAGUCUGAAAACAUAAAUGCUGGUCAGUGGAAGGGAAUCAUUUAUAAAGGAAAAAGGCAACAUGGCAAAAAACAGAACUAUGAUUUAGGGAGGAAAGUACAUCUGCCCACUGGCUCCCCCAGCAACCCCUUGACAUGAUGAAGUGGUGACAUUUCAAAUAUGUAAUGCCUUCUAAAGUAAAAAAAGAGGAA